UCAAGUUGCAAACACUAAGACCUGAUUAACCAAUAUUAAGUCAAUAGGUCUUCCACUGUAGUAGAGCUACUAAGGUCUUUCUGAUGUUGAUUUGUCUCGGCUGGACACAGUGGGCAAGUUGCAUCGGGGGGCUGGACCUCUCAUAGACAUGAGAUGUUGUAGGGUAAAGGUGGGGUUGGGCACCAAUAACUGUUAGGUGAGGACCCAAU
rnacentral:lncRNA from 1 species